rnacentral:rRNA from 1 species
UGGUGCCAGCAGCCGCGGUAAUUCCAGCUCCAAUAGCGUAUAUUUAAGUUGUUGCAGUUAAAAAGCUCGUAGUUGGAUUUCUGGUAGGAGUGACCGUUCCGAACUUGAUUGUUCGUGUAUUGUGUUUUCUCCAGCCAUCCUUGUGGAGAACUUUUCUUGCAUUAAUUUGUAGGGAUUGGGACCCGCAUCGUUUACUGUGAAAAAAUUAGAGUGUUUAAAGCAGGCAAUCGCUUGAAUACAUUAGCAUGGAAUAAUAAGAUAGGACUUUGGUACUAUUUUGUUGGUUUGCAUACCAAAUUAAUGAUCAACAGGAACAGUUUGAGGAUAUUCGUAUGAACAUGUCAGAGGUGAAAUUCUUGGAUUUUGAUCAGACGAACUACUGCGAAAGCAUUUAUCAAGGAUGUUUUCAUUAAUCAAGAACGAAAGUUAGGGGAUCGAAGAUGAUUAGAUACCAUCGUAGUCUUAACCAUAAACUAUGCCGACUAGGGAUUGGCGGACGUUGUCUAUAUGACUUCGCCAGCACCUCAUGAGAAAUCAAAGUCUUUGGGUUCCGGGGGGAG